rnacentral:rRNA from 1 species
AACGAACGCUGGCGGCAGGCCUAACACAUGCAAGUCGAGCGGACCCUUCGGGGUUAGCGGCGGACGGGUGAGUAACGCGUGGGAACGUGCCCUUUGCUUCGGAAUAGCCCUGGGAAACUGGGAGUAAUACCGGAUACGCCCUUUUGGGGAAAGAUUUAUCGGCGAAGGAUCGGCCCGCGUUGGAUUAGGUAGUUGGUGGGGUAAUGGCCUACCAAGCCGACGAUCCAUAGCUGGUUUGUGAGGAUGAUCAGCCACACUGGGACUGAGACACGGCCCAGACUCCUACGGGAGGCAGCAGUGGGGAAUCUUAGACAAGGGGGGAAACCCUGAUCGAGCCAUGCCGCGUGAGAGAUGAAGGCCUUAGGGUUGUAAAGCUCUUUCACCGGGGAAGAUAAUGACGGUACCCGGAGAAGAAGCCCCGGCUAACUCCGUG